AUUGAACGCUGGCGGCAUGCCUUACACAUGCAAGUCGAACGGCAGCGGGGGGGAAGCUUGCUUUUCCUGCCGGCGAGUGGCGAACGGGUGAGUAAUACAUCGGAACGUGCCCUGUAGUGGGGGAUAACUAGUCGAAAGAUUAGCUAAUACCGCAUACGACCUGAGGGUGAAAGUGGGGGACCGCAAGGCCUCAUGCUAUAGGAGCGGCCGAUGUCUGGUUAGCUAGGUGGUGGGGUAAAGGCCUACCAGGGCGACGAUCAGUAGCUGGUCUGAGAGGACGAUCAGCCACAAUGGGACUGGGGCCCGGACCAGACACCUACGGGGGGCAGCAGUGGGGAAUUUUGGACAAUGGGCGAAAGCCUGAUCCAGCAAUGCCGCGUGUGUGAAGAAGGCCUUCGGGUUGUAAAGCACUUUUGUCCGGAAAGAAAUGGCUCUGGUUAAUACCUGGGGUCGAUGACGGUACCGGAAGAAUAAGGACCGGCUAACUACGUGCCAGCAGCCGCAGUAA
rnacentral:rRNA from 1 species